UACGUAGGGUGCGAGCGUUGUCCGGAAUUAUUGGGCGUAAAGAGCUCGUAGGCGGUCUGUCGCGUCGGUCGUGAAAACUUGGGGCUUAACCCUGAGCUUGCGGUCGAUACGGGCAUGACUGGAGUUCGGCAGGGGAGACUGGAAUUCCUGGUGUAGCGGUGAAAUGCGCAGAGUAUCAGGAGGAACAGCCGUGGCGAAGGCGGGUCUCGUGGGCCGAUGACUGACGCUGGAGGAGCGAAAGCGUGGGGAGCGAACAGG
rnacentral:rRNA from 1 species